AAAGGUACAACUACCUAGUUCUAUAACCGCCUCUAAAGGAUGUGGAUGCACCAUCAACUGCGAGAUUAUUUCACGUUUACCCUAUGAGUCCACACUAUGCUGGUUCAAGGACAACAACGGUGUAGAUGAACCUGUUAUAGUCGACAGUAAAAAGUAUCAUGGUUCAACGAUAGAAUUUCCAUCCCUGGUUAUUUCAAAUGUUGAUAAAUGUGAUGAAGGAUUCUAUUCCUGUCGAAUUGUGUACCCGACUAACUAUCAGUACGAAGAAGAUACUGAAGCAGUGGUAUGGCCUAAAACAUACCUACACGUUAACAAUCAAUGAUAAACAUUAAACAAAAUCAGUCUGUAAAAUCUUCCAAAAGAUUUAGUUUUAUUAGAAUUCUUUCUUUUCAUAAAGAAGCCAAAAAGCAAAAACCAUGUUCCUUUUUGUAGAAUUUGGAGUUUUUGACAUUGACAGUAUUGUUUUUUUUUAUGCAAUGUGUGAGUGUGUUAAGUUGUUGAAAACUUCACUGGAGCUUGUUAGAAAAAUAUUCAUCUAAUAUUUGAUCAUACUUACCACAGUAAACUUUAUAUAAAACGUCACAUUAGUUUAGGCAUCAAUGUCUUACCAAAUACAACGUGUAACUACAUUUUUACUUGCGACGAAAGUUAUUACACAAUGUUUCAGGGACAUUAGUUGAACACAUGUUUACCCAUUCGGGAACAAAUGAUCACCGUGGCCAUCUUUCGUUAUGCAUGCUCAUUACAAGGACAAAAAUACAUUAAUACGACAUGUUUGUCCUGCAAACCUCUACGCAUGCAUCAGAUUUAACGUCUCAUUUCGACUACACAUGGAUGGAUGUGUUUUAGAUAACUUGAAUAAACAAAUGGGAAACCUACUUUUACCAACGUGUUACUGCAGAACGAAAGAAAUUACAAAAUGACCAUAUGUUUAUGUGUACUUGAACUUCAUCAAACAAGUUAACAUCGAAAAUUUGGGACAACAUGAUAUCGAUUUUGGGGUACUCAACAUGUAUUACUUUAAUUUCACAAUCACGUGAAAAUCAAACCAUUUUGAAGUCUUCAUAUCGACUUAGGAGUACACAACAUAAUUAUGUUUCUGAUAUUAUGAACAUAAAUCACGUGGUCUCUCUCACUAUUUGUCGUCUCUCGUCUGAUGUUGUCGUCGCUGAAAUACUCUCCUCUGGAACCACCGGUUUAAUCUUAGCUAAACUUGGCCACAAUCAUCGUUCGGGCAAACAACAAAAAAUGCCGAAAAAUAAAACAAAUAAUUUGUAAGAUGCAAUAUAUUUUGUACGUAAUAUCAAAUAUUUAUUGCGCUUUUUAGAACCUUAACUGAUUAACAGAACACUUUUCCAUAUGCACGUUAUAUCCCUGUUUUCUGUUUUUAUUGUUUUCGCAUCUUCUCAAAAAGCAUAAGAGUUAUCGUCAGUUUAAAUUUUUACAAACUGGUUGUUACUUUCUACGGUUGAUUUGCUCUCGACCUAUAUGGAAUUUACUGACUCCCUAUAUAUCAUAUAAAGUCUACUAUCAAACUGUGUUACAAGUAAUACUCUUCUUGUAAUAUCCAUAAAAAUUAUGAUCAGAAUAAUCACAUAAUUAUUCUCUUUAAUAUACUUGCAAUUGUAUGCUCCAUAUGAUCAGAUUUAUCACACAUAACAGUACUAUAUUCUCAUUGUAUUAUCCAAAUGGUCAAUAUGUAGGACUCUAAAGUGCGAUGGGGACGCUAAAGUGCGAUGGCCACGCUAAAGUGCGAUGGUAUACGCUAAAGUGCGAUGUCCCCGGUCGCUAAAGUGCGAUGGUCUGCGAAAGUAUAUUUGAAAGCGACGUUAUUUCAUUAUGACGUUAACAUAUUUUUUUAAAAACAAAAAUGGACAUGCCUGAAAAUCAAUUAAGUAUUUUUGACAAUCUUCUUUUACCCGGCAAGGGUUACAAUACUUCACAAUAGGUUAAAGUUUAAUCAAGAGAUGAACACCGGCCCCAGCAGUCCAUGACUUACUGAAUUUUAAAACUAGCUGUGUUAUACCGGCGGAACCAAAUGUAUUUCUUUUUGGGAAUUUUCCUACAAUCGACCAUUUUACUUUACAGUAAAGAUGAAGAAUAGUAGAGAGUGGUUGUUUAACUCUGUAUUCUUCAAUUUUGUCAGACACUUUUCUCUAUUCUUUAUACAUUUUGACCCAUUAUUCUCUAUUUUGUAAACCCUAUCCACACCUUGUGUCCUGUUUCUGUUGCUGGCUAACGGGUACAUUUAUAUAUAUAAUACUGUUAAAGUCGUUCAUCGUUUAAAUUAUGUUGAUAUAAUUGAAAAUCAACGUCAGUGGAAAAAAAGGCAUACGUUCAAGCGAAUAAGAUUUAAAAACAGUAUUCGUAAAUUAUAAAAGUUAUGUGUGAGCCCCCUAUACUCGCUACGAAACAGAAGAAAAACCUCCCCUUUUUCUCCGUUUUUCAAAGUACAAAUCAUAGUUAUAUUUCCGACAGACUAUGUACAAAUCUUGUAUAUUUUUUUUAUGUACACAAAAUGUUAUUAAUUUAGACUGAAAUUGAAGAUUGAUAAAAGAAGGUGUCCACUGUACUGACUAGAAAGCUGCGUGAACGGCAUGAUACAUUAAUUAUCCAAAUACUUUAUUUAAUACGCUCGAAUUCGGUUCAGAAACUCUCUUUUAUAUUUUAAAACUCAUGUCUUUUACUUGCAUAAAUAAAGUCUACAUAUAUACUGUAAUUAUUUUGUAUUUACAAAAUGGAUCUCGUGUAAGACAUGUUACAUAGGGCUUACAAGAAUAGAAAAGAGUCUACCUAAUACCAGGAAAAAUUGCUUAAGGAAAUAAAGUCUAAUUAACUUAAGCAUAGUAGAAAAACUUUAAUUUUAAAAGAUCUCUUUCAAACAUUACUGUGCUAUACCCCACUAGCACACUAACUUCUGUAUUCUGACCAUUACAGUGUUUUUGGACAAACACGUCUGUACUUUUCGUUUUAUUUCAUUGUACUUUAGCCUCUGGUAAACAAUCUUACGUAAGUCGCUGCAUGUUAUACCAUCGCACUUUAGCGUAAGACACCAUCGUACUUUAGCGUAGACCAUCGCACUUUAGCGUGACCAUCGCACUUUAGAGUACCAUCGCACAUUAGAGUCCUACAAAUAUAGUGUUCACUCUCUUCUGUUCUAUAUUUUACUAGCAGUUUCUAAAUGCUUUUUUUGAAGAUGAUACUUAACUGUACUAUAUUUUCAGUUGAAUUUUCCAAAUCAUUUAGUAAACCUUCAGACUUCAUUGUAUUAUAUUUUAUUUGUAUUUUCCAGUGGCAGAUUCAGAAAUGUUGAUUAGAGGGG
rnacentral:lncRNA from 1 species